rnacentral:tRNA from 1 species
GGUGAUGUAGCUCAGUCGGUUAGAGCUUCGGAUUCAUAAUCCGGGGGUCGGUGGUUCAAGUCCACCCAUCACCACCA